AUUGAACGCUGGCGGCAGGCCUAACACAUGCAAGUCGAGCGAGCGGCGGACGGGGGAGUAAUGUAUGGGGACUGCCCGAUAGAGGGGGAGAACAACUGGAAACGGUAGCGAAUACCGCAUACGAUCGGAUAACACAUAUGGGAAUAGGUCGUAGGUGAGGUAAUGGAUCACCUAGGCGACGAUCCCUAGCUGGUAUGAGAGGAUGAUCAGCCACACUGGGACUGAGACACGGCCCAGACUCCGACGGAGGCAGCAGUGGGGAAUAUUGCACAAUGGGCGCAAGCCUGAUGCAGCCAUGCCGCGUGUAUGAAGAAGGCCCUAGGGUUGUAAAGUACUUUCAGUCGGGAGGCGUUACCGACAGAAGAAGCACCGGCUAACUCCGUGCCAGCAGCCGCGGUAAUAC
rnacentral:rRNA from 1 species